rnacentral:rRNA from 1 species
AUUGAACGCUGGCGGCAUGCUUUACACAUGCAAGUCGAACGGUAACAGGCCGCAAGGUGCUGACGAGUGGCGAACGGGUGAGUAAUGCAUCGGAACGUGCCCCGGCGUGGGGGAUAACUACUCGAAAGAGUAGCUAAAACCGCAUACGAUCUAUGGAUGAAAGCGGGGGACCGUAAGGCCUCGCGCGAUUGGAGCGGCCGAUGUCAGAUUAGGUAGUUGGUGGGGUAAAGGCUCACCAAGCCAACGAUCUGUAGCUGGUCUGAGAGGACAACCAGCCACACUGGGACUGAGACACGGCCCAGACUCCUACGGGAGGCAGCAGUGGGGAAUUUUGGACAAUGGGCGCAAGCCUGAUCCAGCAAUGCCGCGUGCAGGAAGAAGGCCUUCGGGUUGUAAACUGCUUUUGUACGGAACGAAACGGCUCUGGUUAAUACCCGGGGCUAAUGACGGUACCGUAAGAAUAAGCACCGGCUAACUACGUG